GCUGUAUUGUCAUUAGAAUUUAUCAUUUGUUUAUAGAAUUAUUCCUUUUAGUAUUUGUUUUUAUUUUGUUUGAAUUUGAUAUCAGUGUAAACCCAACCAAAAAUAUUCCCGUUUUUGUUAAAAAUGUAGUCGUGUAAAUGUGGCCUAAAUUAAAAAUACAUUUAAGGAAAUGUAGGAAGCUCUAUGUCCAUGGAUAAUGAACUAAAGGCUCCAUUUCUAGGCUGCUGAAGUUCAGGCUGAAGGCUCUGGACUUAUGAGUAAUUUGAUCUAAUUGAUAAUCAUGGUGUGUGCAUACGAGUGUUAGGUGAUAUUAAAUUAUUACCAACUGAUGUACAAGAAUCAGUAGCAAGAGCUGUGACAAUGACUA
rnacentral:lncRNA from 1 species